rnacentral:rRNA from 1 species
UACAGAGGGGGCAAGCGUUGUUCGGAAUUACUGGGCGUAAAGGGCGCGUAGGCGGCCUGCUAAGUCGAACGUGAAAUCCCUAGGCUCAACCUAGGAACUGCGUCCGAUACUGGCAGGCUUGAAUCCGGGAGAGGGAUGCGGAAUUCCAGGUGUAGCGGUGAAAUGCGUAGAUAUCUGGAGGAACACCGGUGGCGAAGGCGGCAUCCUGGACCGGCAUUGACGCUGAGGCGCGAAAGCCAGGGGAGCAAACGGG